GGAGUAAAGCUUGCUGUGAGAAGUCAACAGAGGCCAUAUUACCGGAAGUUUUUUUCGGGAAGGAC
rfam:Paenibacillus sp. DMB20 mira_20, whole genome shotgun sequence.